UCUUUCAUCACACGGGCUGCGGCUCAAAGUACACACUGCUCUGCUGGAUUCUAAGUCUCCAAACUCCUGAAUUUUACAGACUUGAAUUCACCCAACAGGCCCUGUGCAGUGACCUAGGUUAAGAGACACCCAUGGAGCCUGAACCUGUGGAGACUGCUGACUCUGGCGGAAGAAGAUGCUUCGCAAGAAGGUGGUGAAGUGUGAUGAUGCUCGUAGGGUGAUGCUGGCACAAGAGUUCCUGGACUGGGGAUGCCACCUUAGCUGGGAUUCUGAGCCUGCAAAGGAAUCAGCUUGCCCUGGGAGGACCUGUCUCUCUCCCGUCAGCAAGGCCCCCAAGAUGUCAAAGCAUCAAGAAAAUAAAACUAGAAUCCAGGUGAGAACGCUUCUCCCCACUCCCGUGGCACAGACUGCCCUGCCCUUGACCUGAACCGACCUGAAGGGCAGACAGCCUGCCCUUGCUGCUGCCUUCCAAGUCUCCAGCGCGUCCUCUCCGCUGCCUGCCUCCUCUCUCCCACGGCGGACACCGAGGCGCCCGGCCCGCAGCUUCACCUAACUGCCAGGCAUCUUGAGGUCCAGGGCAGCUGCCAGAUGACUGCAGCUCAUGAGUGACCCUGCGAGACCAUUCCAGCUGAGCCCAGCCCAAUUGCAGAAUCACCGGCAGAUAAACAACUGUAAAGCUUCUGAGUUUGGGGUUGUUUGUUAUGCCGCAGUAGGUAACUGACACAUCCACGAACUCUCAUCCUUCAUUGUGGUGGGUUACUGGGGUGGGUGGAGAACUAACUCCCUGACACUCCUGGCUGGCCCUGACACAGAUUCCUGUGGCCAGAGAAAGCCUGCGGUCAGAGAGAUGUCCCGUUGGAGGUAGGAUGGCCUCUCACUGUAGGGAACCUGUCCAUCCGAGUGGCAGGCAACUUCCAGAUAGGCCAAGGCGAUGGGACAGAGCUCCCGUAGCAUCUGCUACAGCACCUGGCUCUGAAAAUGAUCCAGGGAGCUGCCCUGCAAAUUCUGGAAGGCGUUCCUUCAGAAUUCAACUCCACAUCUACACUACACUACAAGUCUAGAGAAGAACACGCCUGAGCUAGCCUGCCGUCCCCGGGAGAAGGAUGAGAGACCUGGGGAACAGAGCCCUAGCUGAGCCGGCCCGGUACAGCCCAGCUCAUCCCAGAGCCCCAGCCAACCUGCUGUGAGGAGCUUGAUCAAUGCUUUCUGUUGUCCGUCACUGAGAAGCCGUAUGAGGCACGUGCUAAUUUUCUCAGCUAUGAAAUGUGGACGAUGAAGCUCGUCGAAGGUGAGUCACUUGCCAAAGUCUCAGACAGAGCUGGCAAACCAACCCCAGAGCCCCCUUAGCUUCAACUACCUUCCUCUUCGGUGGGGGCUCAGAGGAGGGGCUCCAGAGCAAGGCACGUUCUGAGAAGCCUUCAGGGUCAGGUGCAAUCAGCCUCAAAACCAGCUGGGUUGGUGGGUAGCAGGCAGGACACCUGACCAGGGUCAGGGCCCUGGGUUCCAGUCCCGCCUCUGCCACUAAGCAGCCUGGGAUCUAGAGAAGCCCCUCUCUGCUCCGUGCCUCGGUUUCCAAACCUGGGAUAAAGAAGGGGAUGGAUCUGUCUUCUGUGUUGACCUUGCAAAGUGCAGGGGUGACGUGUGCAGUUCCCGGGAGCACCUGGCAAUCGGAGAAGUGGGGUCCGCACUCUCCGUCCCCUCCCCUGGGUUGGGGUGGCCCUCCCCUGGUCCACCCAGGUCCCUGGUCUGGCCAGCUCAGUGUUGGGGGCACCAUGAGUAUGCAGCCAGCAACUCUGCCACGGACAUCGCCCCCAGCCCGCCUUCCUGGUUCUACAAAGGCCCUUGCUGAACGUUUGGCUGCUUCCAGGUAACGCUGUGAAAACCCUUCGAAAGACGAGGAGCUAAUUGACGCUCAUGGGGACAGGCAAUCAUUUACCCUUGUUAUGUCCGCAGCCUCUGUGUGGGCCACGCAGAGGGCGGUCCUCCUGUACUCUCUGCAGAGGGCAGAGCAAGGGCAGAGUGUCAUGGUUUUGCUGCCAUUGUCACCUCUGUUUGCUGAGCUCCUUUGCAGGCCUGGACUCAGUUUACCUCUUGGUGUAAUCACCUCUGCCUUCUCAGCUUCUCCAGGGGAACCAGGCCACGGGCUGUCUGUCUUCCCUGGCUCGAUUAUCGGGCCAAACCUGGGACGUGGGCUGCUGGGCUCACAGAUUAUCAUUAGCAGAGAGGUUUGACUGCCCGGAGACCAUAAUAAAUCAGUGUGCUGGAAUCAUCCUGAAACCAUCCCCGGUCCGCCCCCCGGUCUGUAGAAAAUUGUCUUCCACGAAACCGGUCCCUGGUACCAAAAAGGCUGGGGACUCCUGCUUUAUAGAAUGUAUUUUCUAAGGCACAUUUUACUUAGUUACUUUGCUUAUUGUCUGCCUCCCACACUAGAAUGUCAGGUUCACAGGGGUGGGGAUUUUUGUCUGGUUUGCUGACUGCUGCAUCCCCAGAGUCUAGAAUAGUGCCUGGCAGGUAGUAGGUGCGCAGUGAAUAUUCAUUGUAUUAGCGUGGCUCUGAAUCGAUUCAAUGAAUCCACGCAGCUCUGAAAAAAAAAAAAGGUAUUGAUGCUGGAGCCACUAAACUAAGGCACGCUGAAGAUGACUUAAUCUUUCUAAGCUGGAGAAUCGGGAGGAAUUUGGGCGUGCACAGAGGUCAAACUGCCGGCCAGUGUAGAUGCAAAAGGGGACAGUGACAUGGCGAGUCAGGACGACUGGGCAUUUCUAUCAGCCGCCAUUAGCACCUUGAGAAUGAUGUUUAUUUGGCCAGCAAUGGCCUUUGAUUGCCCCUGCCCCUCCAGCCCGGGCAGGGAGAGCCGCCCCUCCGGCCACCAGAUUGAAAAGAGGCUUGAAAGGCACUGCCAUCCCAGCGUCCAGCUUCCCUUCAUCAGUCCCAUUUCUCUGGCAGCCGGUUAGACCCCUCUUCCCUCUCCCCCAGCUCUCCUCUAAGCCUCUUCAUCUGACAGCUUCCAGGCUGUGAUUAGGGAAGGUACUCUUCCCACUGGCCACGAUGAAGUGCAGUCAGGACACAGAGGCAGUGCAUGAAAAUAGCUUCACGCUCACGCUCUGGGCUCUCCUUCAGAAGAAGAGAGGGAUAAGGCGAAAAAGGAGAAUAAGCGGAAUAAGGCAGAAAAUGGGUGACGCAGCAUCUCAGAGAGAACUCCAAAGUUUUCUGGUCCAUUCCCCUGCCCCACAGUCUUCCUUCCCCAGAGAGCUGUGGAGUUUUCAGAGAAAGGCUCCCCAGGCAACACUUUCCUUAAUAAAAUGGCCACCAUAGAACCAGGAGGUGGUGUUUCUCUAAGCGAGGUUUGCAGACCCCUGGUCUCAGAGCCAUCCAGAGUGUGUGCAAGUGUGCAGACUCCCGGGCCUCAUUCCCAGACCCACUGAAUCAUAACUCAUGGAGCAGGUGACCCGGAAUCUGCAUUGUAAUAUCGGCCUGUGGCUGGGGGGGUGGGGGCAGGGCCACCUCCAGGUGUGAUGGUUCAUGAGGAAGAGGUACAGGACUCAGCAUACCCCGGCUAUGAUUUUACUACAGUGGAAGGAAACAGAGCAAAAUUAGCAAAGGGAAAAGGAGCCUGGGGGGGUUGUCCAGAGGAAACAAGAUGCAAACUUCCAAGAGCCUCUCCCUGGAGUCCCUCAGGGCGAGCUGAUGCCCCCAGCACUGGGUUGUGAGAACACGUGUGAAAUGCUGUCUCCCAGAAGAGGUCCUCAGAGACUGGGUGCCCAGGGAUUGUACCAGGGGCUGGUCAUGCAGGAACCUUCUGCCUGGCAUGUUCCAAAGUUCCAGACUCCCAGAAGAAAAGCAGGGCUUCAGCCUAAAGCACGUUGUUUGCACGACAGGUCAGGUAAUGUGAGCUGCUCUUAUCAGCUGGAACCUUCUCCAAAACCAAGUUCCCAGAGGACAGCCAAGGCCACACCUGCAAGCAGGCCUUUCAAAGGACAGCAGUCUCAGGCCUACUAUGUGAAUGUUUGUCUGCACCACCCACUUCCUUCCAGAGGAUUCCUAGGCACUGUAAAUUACGAGACCCACUGGUCUGAUGGAUAAAGAACUGCCCCCGAGACACAUCUGUGCUGAAGGCCUGGGACCAGCAUUUCUCUGAGGGACUGUCCAAAGGAGAGCAGAGAACACUGUCUUGGAUCGGUCCCUCCUGGAGACUCUGCAGCAUAUUAGCGCCAUAAGGGCUCUGAGAAGACCUUCAGUAAAGGAAAAUUUCUUUACUGCGAGCCUGUAUGCUCGCAGACCUCCUUUGGGCAGAACACACGUCAGCAUCCUGCAGGACAGUCGACGGCAUUCUCUGGGUGGUUGCCAGGCCAGGAGGACCCAGACAAGUUGAUUGCCAGGUAUAUGUACCAAAGCCGGAUCCACCGACUCCCCAGGUCAGCAGCAGCUCAUCCUCGCCCUUGACCUCAGUCCACCCUGAGAGACGAUCUUUGAGGCUGGAGUUAUAGUCAUCAACUCCCAUUCCUCCAGCUGUUCUUUGGUUCCCAGGUGCCUGAAAGUCCCUAAAAGUGCUGCUUGAGCCGAAAUUCAGAGGGCAUGCUAAACCAGGUUAAUUUAGGGCCCACGGCAAUGAGCAGGUGUCCUCCCCACUGGGUUGGUUGGAUACAUGAGUUAAUUUUGUUCAAGCUCCAAGGGUCUUGGGGACUUUGGUGCUGAGGGUGUACAGAUGUGUUGAGGGAGGGGCCCAGCAUGGAAUGGGCUUCAGGGUCUGCAGGGACCUGAGGAAGGAGAGCUGCAUACUCAGCACUGCAAUUAAUGGAGCUAAUAAGGGUCCGAAGGUCAAUGCCAGCCAGGGCGCUUGGCAGGUGGGGCGGACAUCCCUUGGAAAACUCUACAUCGGCAUCCUGUGAGUCGGAGUGGAGAGCGUUUGGCAGGGGAGGGGUGCCCCAUGGCAAGGCUGGGCAGGGCAGUCCAGGGCAGCAGAGCAGGGAGAGGUGUCCUUCUGAGUGGCCCAAGCACGGGCAGGGACAAGAGCAGGGGUCUUGAAGCAGCCAGCACUGGGUGUGAACCUCGACCGAGACCUGAAUGAGCUGUGUGUCAUUGGGCAGCUUCCCUUGCCUCUCUGAGCCUCAGUUACCUCAUAUGCAAAUGGACACAAGAGUGACCACCCCCCAACUCAGAGUAAUGAAUGGCUUAACUUGGGUUAAGUGCCUAGAAAUAUCUAGCACGUAAAAUGUACUCCAUGAAUGCUACUUCUCUCCUCUCCUUUUAGAAAAGCUCAGAGACUGGCAGAAGCGUUUUUUCUUUUUAAACUUUUAAUUGCACUGUAACAUACACACGGAAAAGUGCAUACUCUUUUGUUUGUUUUUUAAUUUAAAAUUUAUUUCAACUCCUCUGGGGCUGGAAGUGUUACAAAACCUUAAAAUAAACCUAAAACGUCUUGCUUUUA